GACGUAGGGGGCCAGCGUUGUUCGGAAUUACUGGGUGUAAAGGGUUCGUAGGCGGUGUGGCAAGUCGGGAGUGAAAUCUCUGGGCUCAACCCAGAGUCUGCUUCCGAAACUGCUGUGCUUGAGUGUGGGAGAGGCGCGUGGAAUUGCAGGUGUAGCGGUGAAAUGCGUAGAUAUCAGGAGGAACACCAAUGGCGAAGGCAGCUCGCUGGGACGGUACUGACGCUGAGACGCGAAAGCGUGGGGAGCAAACAGG
rnacentral:rRNA from 1 species